AGUUGCGAUCAUACCAGCGCUAACGUACCGGAUCCCAUCAGAACUCUGCAAGUAAGCAUGCUUGGGCGAGAGUAGUAUUAGGACGGGUGACCUCUUGGGAAGUUCUCGUGUUGCACCUC